rnacentral:rRNA from 1 species
AUGAUCCAUAGCUUCGUUUCCAGAGUUAGUGUUGUCAUUAAGGUCAAUGAUGAUGUUGGCCACUAUUUUCAAACAACGAAGGGAUUGUGACAGGGUGACUCGAUAUCGCCCAUGUUAUUCAAUAUAGUGGCGGAUAUGCUUGCAGUCAUGAUUGAGCAUGCCAAUACUGAUGGAAAAAUUGAUGGGGUAGUAAAUCAUCUUGUUGAUGGUGGUCUUUCUAUACUUCAGUAUGCCGAUGAUACGAUUCUCUUCAUGGAUCAUGACCUCGUGAAAGCGAGAAAUCUGAAAUUAAUUUUGUAA